rnacentral:rRNA from 1 species
UAUUGGACAAUGGGGGAAACCCUGAUCCAGCAAUGCCGCGUGAGUGAUGAAGGCCUUCGGGUUGUAAAGCUCUUUUGUCAGGGACGAUGAUGACGGUACCUGACGAAUAAGCUCCGGCUAACUUCGUGCCAGCAGCCGCGGUAAUACGAGGGGAGCUAGCGUUGUUCGGAAUUACUGGGCGUAAAGGGCGUGUAGGCGGUACCAUAAGUCAGAUGUGAAAGCCCUAGGCUUAACCUAGGAAUUGCAUUUGAUACUGUGGAACUAGAGAUCGAGAGAGGUAAGUGGAAUUACGAGUGUAGAGGUGAAAUUCGUAGAUAUUCGUAAGAACACCAGGGCGAAGGCGACUUACUGCUCGAUACUGACGCUAAGGCGCGAAA